AAAAUUUUCAUAAGUUUACCAGGAUAUUUGCGUUUUAUCCAAGGAAAUUUGGCAACGCCUGAAGGCUCAUACGGCGUUUUUCCUUAGCAUGGCAGAAUAGGGAGUAAGGUUUAGGGGGUGAGGCAUCUACAUCAGCCCCACCACUCCACUUCCUCCUUGGAGAAUUUCCCGGCUACGCCAACCGGUGGCGUUCACCCUGCAGUGGCGAAUAGCGUAUCGGGCAUUGCGAUAAAUCGAUCAAUCUGCCAUUUAAACAAAUGGUAAAGGAUCGGCUAUGAGGGUGUUCGGAACGAACACCGUAAUAAUCGAUUUUCACUAUAGUUUUAAAUGGAAGAAUGUCGUAAGUAGAUAAUUUACGCAUCGCCCCUGCUUCGACCCACCCUUUUGGGAGACCCUCGGUGUUUCUGUGAUGCUGCCUCUAGCGUUAUUUAUUAAAUAAUGACCGGUUCUAAACUGUACGAAUUGUCGCGUUUUAAAAGAUGAAAUGUUUAAGCUCAGGUAUUACUCUCAUUGGCGGGCCGAAAUCGUCGCACUGUGUGCGGGCAGAGACGAAACAGUCAGUGGGAGUAAUUAGGUAAGACGCUACUCUGCGGGAAAAUCAAGGCCAAAAAUCUCAAAAGUCAGCUCUCAAGUCACCGAAUGAAGUCUGUUGAGUAUCCGCGCAAGUCUAAGGCGGGAGAAUUUUAUUUUUAUAUGGUUCGUUGAAAAAACUUAAAUUUUCUUAUAUUCAGUAAUUCAUAUGUACCUAUUUGAAUCACAACUUGAAAAUGAAAUUUUGAAAUUAACCUAAAAUUCUAACAAGUAAAGCCCAUAGUAAAAGUAUUAAUAAGUAUUAACGAUUUUACAGCUGAUUGGCCUUGAUUCACCCGUAAAAUAAAGUGAACCCAGCUCUAUUUCACCAUCCUGUUACUUACAGUAUUUGGGCCACAUUCUUAGCGUUUGAAUCAUAUAAUUAGGUAAGUAAAUAUCCUUAGGAUAUAAAUCAUCGAAAUAAAUCGGAUUAGAAUCGGUUUUCUCUUCUAAAUUGAGGUAGCAUUCCAGGCACAUUGAGACAACCACCCAAAA